GUCCAAACCUGAUCUCAGGUGGAGAGAUGAGGAGUCUCGCAUGUCUGUUUUGAAUAAGAUUCAGUCUCUAACUCCAAGACUUUCAACUAAAAACAACAUUUUCAGUGAAGCUGAACUCAACCAACUGUAUUCAAAGGUGACAAUUGACAAACACAAUAUUUUUCC